CGCCGAAGGUGGGGCUAAUGACUGGGGUGAAGUCGUAACAAGGUAGCCGUACCGGAAGGUGCGGCUGGAUCACCUCCUACAGGGAGACAACAACCGAUUUUGAUGUCUGAGUUAAAUAUCCUUAGACCAAGAUCCUGUCACCUUAGGUCGAUCGGUACCUCAAAUUAAUAACCAAAAAGUAGAAUAUUUUUCUUCCUAUUGGUAGUUGAUAUCAGUUCCUAAACUUGUCUAGGUCACACCCAACUGUGUACUCCUGGGCCAUUAGCUCAGGUGGUUAGAGCGCACCCCUGAUAAGGGUGAGGUCCCUGGUUCAAGUCCAGGAUGGCCCAUUCGGUGUUGGGGGUAUAGCUCAGUUGGUAGAGCGCCUGCUUUGCAAGCAGGAUGUCAGCGGUUCGAGUCCGCUUACCUCCACUGACAACUACCUGUAUUUCCAACUUGAAGGAGAUAUGCUUUUUUGGUGUGAUUUAGAAUUUGUCUUCUGAAUAAUGAACCUAGCUUCCUAUCAUUCUUGAUUUCAAACAUCAAUUUUUGAAUAUUUGAUAAGACGCUGGGCUCACUGCAGUUUGUUUAAUUGCAGAGAACUUCAGUAGAACCUUGACAACUGCAUAGGAAAAGUCUGGAAAGAAUAAAAGCAUCUCAUGGAUGCAUAAUUCUUUGAGUCAAUUUGAUGGGUAGAUUUUCUAUCUAAAUAUCUCUUUGGCCUCUUAGAAUAAUGUUUGAUUCUUGAGUAAGAGCCGAGAUUCCAUAGUUUAAAUUUUGAUAUUUCUAGCAUUUAUCAAAAACAUUUUCACUUUGGAAGUUUGGUCAAGCUACAAAGGGCUCA
rnacentral:misc_RNA from 1 species